AACUUUCUAAAAAGUUCGUGAUGAGACAGACAAUAUAUUGAGCCAACAAUGAAUGUACGGGAGGCUGAUGCUGCUUUUCGGUGCAAUCUUUCUAGGUUAAAGAAUGCCAUAGGAUGCAGCUCUGAUGUUCCAUUGGAACAGAAAGCCACCCACCUGUUUAAUACAGGUUCAAUUCAUUUGUCUCAAACGGCUUAUUUGGUUUUCUU
rnacentral:other from 1 species